UAUCCAGACUCCUACGGGAGGCAGCAGUGAGGAAUAUUGGUCAACGGCCGAGAGGCUGAACCAGCCAAGUCGCGUGAGGGAUGACGGCCCUACGGGUUGUAAACCUCUUUUGUCGGGGAGCAAAGAGAGUCACGUGUGGCUCAUUGAGAGUACCCGAAGAAAAAGCAUCGGCUAACUCCGUGCCAGCAGCCGCGGUAAUACGGAGGAUGCGAGCGUUAUCCGGAUUUAUUGGGUUUAAAGGGUGCGCAGGCGGAGGUGCAAGUCAGUGGUCAAAUUGCGGGGCUCAACCCCGUACUGCCGUUGAAACUGGCAGUCUCGAGUUGGAGAGAAGUAUGCGGAAUGCGCGGUGUAGCGGUGAAAUGCAUAGAUAUCGCGCAGAACUCCGAUUGCGAAGGCAGCAUGCCGGCUCCACACUGACGCUGAGGCACGAAAGCGUGGGUAUCGAACAGGAUUAGAUACCCUAGUAC
rnacentral:rRNA from 1 species